UCCAUCCACCCUGUCAGGGGAAGAGCUCUCCGCAGUCAUGUGCUUUGAUGUUCCCUGUGCCCUGGAGGGGGUGGGGCCAAUUAUGUCUCCUGAGCGCCUGAACUAAAUCUGAUGGAAGGAGCAGCUGGAUAUUGACAAUCAUGCACCUAUAGUGAGCUGGGGAGAGAGCAGGAGCAGGAGUGUGGAUCUGGCCUCCUAAGCUAUGCCAGGGGCAACCUUCAGGGGGAGAGGGCAGGAGCAGGGGUGUGGGUUUGGCCUCCCAAACUAUGCCAGGGGCAACUUGCAUGGGGAGAGGGCAGGAGCAGGGGUGCGGGUCUGGCCUCCCAGAGUAUGCCAGGGGCAACCUUCAGGGUGAGAGGCAAGUCUCAUGGCUCCUUGUGUGCUUCUGCUGCAGGUGACCAAUGCCAGGAUGCCUGUGGAGUCUCUUUCCCACCCCAGAGACAGACAGGUACACUACUCUUGGCGCACCCUGUCAGAUGGCUUCUAGGAUGUCAUUUUCUCUCAACCCUGGGAAGAGAACAUCCUAAUAGAAGUACCCCAGGGCCAGGAAACAACCUCAGCCUGCAGCCUCUUCCGUUAAUUGAACAAAUUAGCCAUGAACAGCUGCUACCUGUUAAAAUGGCCUGCUUUCAUUUUAUAGUCUUGGACAAGGGGUCUGAUAGCAUCUGUACGCUACAGCUGUCAGGCAUUCUGAUUAGCUCCCGAUUCCUGCUUUCAAUAUAUCAUGACAAACAUAAUUACCUCGACAUCUCUUUUUAUGGAUUCUACAAAUCGCUGGGUGCACCAUGCAUGCCAAGUGUCCAUCAAUUACAAGGGCAGUCCGCUAGGAGUUGUCUACCGCUGGUAUGGCCAGAAAACAUACAGAAAUUCUUUCUUUAAAGGAAGGGGAGUUUGGCUGUGGUUCCAGCUCGCUGUGGAAAUGAAUCUCAGAUGGCCACGUCAGUUUGUGCCCCUGCAAGGAUAGUCUAUAAUAAUGAAUUCAGCAGGAAAUAAAAUUAAUGCCCACAUCUCUGGUCACAUUGCCAGUGCUGUAAGGUUCAGAGAAGUCCAUCCAUCCAUCCAUCCAUUAUCUAUACCCGCUUUAUCCUGGGCAGGGUCAGGGGUGCUCCCUGAGCCUAUCCCAGUGUGCAUUGGGGGAGAGGCAGGAAUACACCCUAGACAGACCGCCAAUCUAUUGCACGGCAGUUCAGAGAUGUCUUUAAAAAAAUUACAUUUAGAAAGGUUGAAUAUCCUUCCCCAGGGAUUCCUUUACUCUGGUCUGCAUCAUUCAGUGGUAAAGUGUACACAUCUAAGUAAGUGUUUUUGUGGAAACUUGUAUGACAACAGAUGGU